rnacentral:rRNA from 1 species
AUUGAACGCUGGCGGCAUGCUUUACACAUGCAAGUCGAACGGUAACAGGCCUUCGGGUGCUGGCGAGUGGCGAACGGGUGAGUAAUGCAUCGGAACGUACCCAGAGGUGGUGGAUAACGCAGCGCAAGCUGUGCUAAUACCGCAUGUGAUCUGAGGAUGACAGCGGGGGACCGAGCAGCAAUGUUUGGCCUCGCGCCUUUGGAGCGGCCGAUGUCGGAUUAGCUAGUUGGUGGGGUAAAGGCCUACCAAGGCGACGAUCCGUAGCUGGUCUGAGAGGAGGAACAGCCACACUGGGACUGAGACACGGCCCAGACUCCUACGGGAGGCAGCAGUGGGGAAUUUUGGACAAUGGGCGCAAGCCUGAUCCAGCAAUGCCGCGUGCGGGAAGAAGGCCUUCGGGUUGUAAAACGCUUUUGGCAGGAACGAAACGGUGUCCGCUAAUACCGGGCGCUAAUGACGGUACCUGAAGAAUAAGCACCGGCUAACUACGUG